rnacentral:rRNA from 1 species
UACGUAGGCAGCGAGCGUUGUUCGGAAUUACUGGGCGUAAAGAGUGUGUAGGCGGUGUUCCCAGUCUGUUGUGAAAUCUCCCGGCUUAACUGGGAGGGUGCAGCGGAAACUAGAAUGCUAGAGGGUGGGAGAGGUAAGCGGAAUUCCUGGUGUAGCGGUGAAAUGCGUAGAUAUUGGGAAGAACACCGGUGGCGAAGGCGGCGACCUGGUCCUUGACUGACGCUGAGGCGCGAAAGCGUGGGGAGCAAACAGG